UUCUCUAUUCUGAUUGGCAGGAAGUUUUUUGUUCUAAUACUCGUUUCUAUAGUAACAACUUACCUUAUGUGGUGGAGGCUCCACAUAAGCAGUUUUUUUAUGUAUAAGCGUUUGUAACUGAUAAAGUGAGGUUGUCUGUGAGGAGAUGUUUAUUUAGUAUUUUUGGAAGGAGUCUCCAGUGUCAGCACUUUGUAUCAGUCAGAGCUUCGUAAUCCGAGCUGUCCAUGAGAGUCACCUUGAAGGGGACAGUCUUCAAACGCUUGGACGACUUCUGCGGCGAUUUGGGACUCUUGCCUGG